CGCAAUGGACGAAAGUCUGACGGAGCAACGCCGCGUGAGCGAUGAAGGCCUUCGGGUCGUAAAGCUCUGUUGUUAGGGAAGAACAAGUACCGGAGUAACUGCCGGUACCUUGACGGUACCUAACCAGAAAGCCACGGCUAACUACGUGCCAGCAG
rnacentral:rRNA from 1 species